rnacentral:rRNA from 1 species
UACGUAGGUCCCGAGCGUUGUCCGGAUUUAUUGGGCGUAAAGCGAGCGCAGGUGGUUUAUUAAGUCUGGAGUGAAAGGCAGGGGCCCAACCCCUGGACUGCUCUGGAAACUGUCCGGCUGGAGUGCAGGAGAGGUAAGUGGAAUUCCUAGUGUAGCGGUGAAAUGCGUAGAUAUUAGGAGGAACACCAGUGGCGAAGGCGGCUUACUGGACUGUAACUGACGUUGAGGCUCGAAAGCGUGGGGAGCAAACAGG